UACGUAGGGGGCAAGCGUUAUCCGGAUUUACUGGGUGUAAAGGGAGCGUAGACGGUACGCCAAGUCUGAAGUGAAAUGCCGCAGCUUAACUGCGGAACUGCUUUGGAAACUGGCGGGCUAGAGUGCGGGAGAGGUAAGUGGAAUUCCUAGUGUAGCGGUAGAAUGCGUAGAGAUUAGGAGGAACAUCAGUGGCGGAGGCGGCUUACUGGACGGUAACUGACGCUGAGGCUCGAAAGCGUGGGGAGCAAACAGG
rnacentral:rRNA from 1 species